rnacentral:rRNA from 1 species
UACAGAGGUCCCAAGCGUUGUUCGGAUUCACUGGGCGUAAAGGGUGCGUAGGUGGUCGGGUAAGUCUGAUGUGAAAUCUCUGGGCUCAACCCAGAAAUGGCAUUGGAUACUAUUCGGCUAGAGGAGUGGAGGGGGGACUGGAAUACUUGGUGUAGCAGUGAAAUGCGUAGAUAUCAAGUGGAACACCAGUGGCGAAGGCGAGUCCCUGGACAGUUCCUGACACUGAGGCACGAAAGCUAGGGGAGCAAACAGG